UGGAGGGCUUGUUGAAUCAUGAAUUCCUUGGCCUCUCUCUCCAGCAGCUCUGCCGACAAGCAGCUCCCUUGUCACGCUGCAGCUGUGGCCCCAUGGAUCACGUACUGAGAACUGCUGCUACAGAGGAGACUGACCUCGGAAAUCACUCUGUUAACCAGGUCAAAACUAUUGGAGUCAUGUUUCUCUCUAGUCACUGCAAAGAGGCCAUGAUACCUGAAGGAUGCGUGGGAGGAAGAGGGAAGACAUACGUAGACUCAGUACAAGCCAGUCUCAUCUCAAUAAAUCCAUAGGAAGCCUUGGAGAAAGUAUGUUCCAAGGAGACAUUUGACAGUGAAGAUUCAGUGCUGGGUGUGCCUUUUAAGAAGAGUCUUGUAGCUCUGGACAUCUGCUGCUCUCAUCAGGUGUGUGGAUGAGGGAGACAGGGGCAUGGUGAAAGUUACAUUCUAAAUGAGUAGCUUCC
rnacentral:lncRNA from 1 species